rnacentral:rRNA from 1 species
UACGUAGGGACCAAGCGUUGUUCGGAUUUACUGGGCGUAAAGGGCGCGUAGGCGGCAAUUCAAGUCAUCUGUGAAAUCUCCGGGCUUAACCCGGAACGGUCAGAUGAUACUGCUUUGCUAGAGUGCGGAAGGGGCAAUCGGAAUUCUCGGUGUAGCGGUGAAAUGCGUAGAUAUCAGGAAGAACACCCGUGGCGAAGGCGGUUCUCUGGGACGGUACUGACGCUGAGACGCGAAAGCGUGGGGAGCGAACAGG